UGACUCAUGUAGCCUAAUGAAGCGAAUGCCUCGAUGAAAUAAAAAAAAAUAUGAAUGUGUAAUUACACAACGCUACAUUCAUAUGAUAUUUCCAGAUCGCUAUUUCAAGAUUAUGCUUUUAAUUGUAUGGUAAGCGAUCCGAUGGCCACUGAUUUUGUGCUACCAGAACCAGUAGCAUAGGGCAGGCCUACUUGUGCUAAAAUCAAGUUGUUUUGCUAACGAACUAAAAUGCAUACCCUGGUAUUUAUGGUUACAGAUCAACGCUGAGACAGGUUUGCUCUGAGCACUUUGAGAAGCAGUGUUUUGUAAAGACCGCCCGUGGUAUCUCAGAGCUUAUAAAGGAUGCUGUGGCAACUUUGUUCGCCUGGACUUCAGAGAGGCCAAAGAGGAGAAUCAUCAUUCGCAGACCGAGUACGGAUUCCAUGGAGGUGGAUGAAAACCAGCCUGAUGUGAGAAGGGAUGCCUUGAGCACAGAUGUACCUCCUCCACAGCCAUGAUUAUGCUGUUCCACCGCUGACACCAGAGGGACAACUUGAGGCGGCACGCAAGCACAUCAU